AUUGAACGCUGGCGGCAGGCCUAACACAUGCAAGUCGAACGAGUGGCAGACGGGUGAGAAAUGUCUGGGAAACUGCCUGAUGGAGGGGGAUAACUACUGGAAACGGUAGCUAAUACCGCAUACCAUCGGAUGUGCCCAGAUGGGCUUAGCUAGUAGUUGGGGUAAAGGCUCACAUGGGCGACGAUCCCUAGCUGGUCUGAGAGGAGGACCGGCCACACUGGAACGAGGACACGGUCCAGACUCCUACGGGAGGCAGCAGUGGGGAAUAUUGCACAUGGGGGGCAAGCCUGAUGCAGCCAUGCCGCGUGUAUGAAGAAGGCCUUCGGGUUGUAAGGUACUUUCAGCGGGGAGGCGUUACCCGCAGAAGAAGCACCGGCUAACUCCGUGCCAGCCGCCGCGGUAAUAC
rnacentral:rRNA from 1 species